GGGGGCCCGCAAGCGGUGGAGCAUGUGGUUUAAUUCGAUGCAACGCGAAGAACCUUACCUGGUCUUGACAUAGUAAGAACUUUCCAGAGAUGGAUUGGUGCCUUCGGGAACUUACAUACAGGUGCUGCAUGGCUGUCGUCAGCUCGUGUCGUGAGAUGUUGGGUUAAGUCCCGCAACGAGCGCAACCCUUUUCCUUAUUUGCCAGCGGGUUAAGCCGGGAACUUUAAGGAUACUGCCAGUGACAAACUGGAGGAAGGCGGGGACGACGUCAAGUCAUCAUGGCCCUUACGACCAGGGCUACACACGUGCUACAAUGGUCGGUACAAAGGGUUGCUACCACGCGAGUGGAUGCUAAUCUCAAAAAGCCGAUCGUAGUCCGGAUUGGAGUCUGCAACUCGACUCCACGAAGUCGGAAUCGCUAGUAAUCGCGGAUCAGAAUGCCGCGGUGAAUACGUUCCCGGGCCUUGUACACACC
rnacentral:rRNA from 1 species